AUGGGGGAAACCCUGAUCCAGCCAUCCCGCGUGUGCGAUGAAGGCCUUCGGGUUGUAAAGCACUUUUGGCAGGAAAGAAACGUCAUGGGCUAAUACCCCGUGAAACUGACGGUACCUGCAGAAUAAGCACCGGCUAACUACGUGCCAGCAGCCGCGGUAAUACGUAGGGUGCAAGCGUUAAUCGGAAUUACUGGGCGUAAAGCGUGCGCAGGCGGUUCGGAAAGAAAGAUGUGAAAUCCCAGAGCUUAACUUUGGAACUGCAUUUUUAACUACCGAGCUAGAGUGUGUCAGAGGGAGGUGGAAUUCCGCGUGUAGCAGUGAAAUGCGUAGAUAUGCGGAGGAACACCGAUGGCGAAGGCAGCCUCCUGGGAUAACACUGACGCUCAUGCACGAAAGCGUGGGGAGCAAACAGGAUUAGAUACCCUGGUAGUCCACGCCCUAAACGAUGUCAACUAGCUGUUGGGGCCUUCGGGCCUUGGUAGCGCAGCUAACGCGUGAAGUUGACCGCCUGGGGAGUACGGUCGCAAGAUUAAAACUCAAAGGAAUUGACGGGGA
rnacentral:rRNA from 1 species